ACUUGUUCGUCCCUCUGAGUGCCACGCUCACUCACCCCCGCUACUCCCUUUCCCAGAUAUACACGCACAGACACAGCUCACAAACAACAAAAACACACACACACACACUGUGAAUCAGAGAAAUAAGAGGGAAGAAAGAAAGGGGAAGAAGAGAGAAGAGAGGAAGGAGGCGUCACUGCCUGUUGCCGCCGAGCCUGCUCCACCGCCGAUCAUCACGCUCUGCUGCAGCCAUCGCAUGCAUCGCCGUCCAACGAGCGCCGCCGACCCGUCACCUCCAUGGUUGGGUUGUCGUGGCCGUCAAGUCCAGACGAGAGAGGGGAGAUGCGGGACUAAAACCCCAACGAGCCGAGAAGAAUCAGCGCUGCCGCUGCACCGCUCGUGGAUCCUAUUGCCGCCGCUGAAGGUUCCGAUCGUUCAACUCGUUGCUUCCGUUGCCUCGCUGCAGAUCCGUCACCCCUGUCGUCGUUGGAAAAACAGAACCACAAGAGAGAGAGACGCGGUAAGAGAGGUAGGGUCGUGCUCGGACGUCAUCACUGGAGGACUGAAUGGAGAAGCUCGCCAGUUCUGCUUCUACUUCUAGUUUCUGGAAUAUGAGAAAACGUCAUUGCCGCUGCUGUUUGUUGGGUUUAAGAUCGUUGCUGCUGCUCUUGCUCUGUUCUGCCUCUGCUUCUAGUUUCGUAGUUGCUGGAGCCUUUGCCGCCGGGAACCAAUGUUGGAGCUGCUCUUGAUGAUUCUGAUGCUGCUACGUAAGUUCCGAGCUGUUGUGUUGUUGCCAGAGGAAGGGAACUCAUAGGAAAAAUGUCCCCGAGGCUGCUGUUUGGCUUGGUUACGUUGUUAAUGCGACACUGAGGUUCGGAGACUCAGUGUGAAGCUGCGGGUGAUUAUGAGUUUUAUUUAAGUUAAGUUUAUGUGUUGAGUUGUUUUUAUAGAAUUUUCUCGCCUUUGUUAUUUAAGAUUUUAUUUUAUACA